AGAACUUAUUUGUAUUUUGUUUAACUUGUAGACAAAGACUUAUAGAGAGAAACAAAAAGUAAAUUCUCUCAUGCAACUCAAAAGCCAUUUCUCGGUAUGAAUUUUGAUAUGCAAAGGAAGAAUCUU
rfam:Fukomys damarensis contig96310, whole genome shotgun sequence.